rnacentral:rRNA from 1 species
GCCGUAAACGAUGGGUACUAGGUGUAGGAGGUAUCGACCCCUUCUGUGCCGGAGUUAACGCAAUAAGUACCCCGCCUGGGGAGUACGACCGCAAGGUUGAAACUCAAAGGAAUUGACGGGGGCCCGCACAAGCGGUGGAGUAUGUGGUUUAAUUCGACGCAACGCGAAGAACCUUACCAGGUCUUGACAUUGAUGGACAGAACCAGAGAUGGUUCCUCUUCUUCGGAAGCCAGAAAACAGGUGGUGCACGGUUGUCGUCAGCUCGUGUCGUGAGAUGUUGGGUUAAGUCCCGCAACGAGCGCAACCCCUAUCUUAUGUUGCCAGCACGUAAAGGUGGGAACUCAUGAGAGACUGCCGCAGACAAUGCGGAGGAAGGCGGGGAUGACGUCAAGUCAUCAUGGCCCUUACGACCAGGGCUACACACGUGCUACAAUGGCGCAUACAAAGAGAAGCGACCUCGCGAGAGCAAGCGGACCUCAUAAAGUGCGUCGUAGUCCGGAUUGGAGUCUGCAACUCGACUCCAUGAAGUCGGAAUCGCUAGUAAUCGUGGAUCAGAAUGCCACGGUGAAUACGUUCCCGGGCCUUGUACACACCGCCCGUCACACCAUGGGAGUGGGUUGCAAAAGAAGUAGGUAGCUUAACCUUCGGGAGGGCGCUUACCACUUUGUGAUUCAUGACUGGGGUGAAGUCGUAACAAGGUAACC